CACGUAGGGCGCAAGCGUUGUCCGGAAUUAUUGGGCGUAAAGAGCUCGUAGGCGGUCUGUUGCGUCUGCUGUGAAAACUCGGGGCUUAACCCCGAGCCUGCAGUGGAUACGGGCAGACUAGAGUGAGGUAGGGGAGAAUGGAAUUCCCGGUGUAGCGGUGAAAUGCGCAGAUAUCGGGAGGAACACCGGUGGCGAAGGCGGUUCUCUGGGCCUUACCUGACGCUGAGGAGCGAAAGCGUGGGGAGCGAACAGG
rnacentral:rRNA from 1 species